AAAGAAUGGUACUAAAAAUUAAAAUUAUCCCCUAAAUUUUCCCUCCACACACUACAAAAAUCCCACAUGAAUACAACAUCUAUUUUCAGAUUCAUUCAAAGUGAUCUCUAGGAACGUGAAAGCUGAAAUUCCUAAAAGCCGUGGAAGAUAGAUAGAGGGAUCGCUUAUCAAAUAAAUCUGCAGGGCUUGGGCUGGAUCUUCCAUUUACCCUGUUUAGGAAAAAUGGCAUCUUGCUCGAGUACAAGAAAGUUGGCCUUUAGCGACGACCCCUUUAGCGGCGACAACAAAGAAGUCGUCGCUAAAAGCCCAAUCCGCGUCCAGGUUUUAAAACCAAUCCUUGAUCGUUGUUCUUGUGUAAAAUCUGACGGUCCAGGUUUUAUUUUAGCUUUAGGUGUACAUUUGGUGCAAAAAAGAGUGAGGCAUUGGUGGGCAGUGAUAGGAGACCCAAGGAAACCUGGGUUCGAUCCUUGAGCCAAACGGGUUUUACUGGUAAUUUACUGUCGUGCCUAUAGGCGGGUGGGUUACUGGGUUUUCCCCGGAAUUGGUGGUGGAUGACUCGGGUUACUCUCGGAGUACUCCGUUUGUCCAGUGGGUGCCCCGAGUGUGCUCGGGAUUGAUUUGUUGACCGUUCAAAAAAAAAAAAAAACCUGUGGCGGGCAAACCAUUCACUCUCGCCAAAUCGAUCCACUGGCACUCUCCUGAAUCGAUCCAUGAGCCCUCCCCCAAACCCCAUGGCGCUGCCAGAUUGAUUCAACCCGGCCACAGCGGCUCGCUCGCCGCCACGACCUGCAGCCUUCGGAGUCAACUUACCUCCUCAGCCGCUCGCGCGCCGCACCUCGUACGCUGCACCAGGCCCUGCACUCACACACAGCCAUCUGUACCUGCAGAAACAUGUUCAAUACCACCACCCUCCGGUUACAACCCGCCACCACCAGAACCUGCACUCACCUUCUCGCUGCACCUGCAGGCUAGUUUGGUCUUCCUUGUUUUUCUGGUGUGGAUUGUGUGCAAUUGUAGGUAGCACCGUCAAAGAUUUGGUGAGCCCUGGCUUCUUAUCCUAAUAAGAAUUAAGAAGCUCUCUAAAGGUUAUUGCUUUUUCAUUUUUUUUUGUUUUUUGAAGUAUUUGGUGUGUAAGUUAUGUGGUUUCUAGGAUGGAUAAGAUUAGGGGUGAAUUGUUUUGAGCUACUAGUUGGUUCCUGUUAUGGUUUUUAUUUGAAUUGAAGGGUGUUAAAUUGGUGGGCACUUUACUAUAAAAUUAGAAAAAAAAAAAAAAGAAAAAGUAAUACAGAGGAGACCGAUUUAGGUUAGGUGUAGCACUACUGAAGCAGAAGUUAAAAGUUUUAUUAUAUAUGUAAAGUUUUUGGGCUAAUAAAUGGACACUCACAUACCCUUUUGUUCAACUCUAUUAUUAUAAAAUUCUCAAAAAUAAUAAUAAACAUAAAUAACUUAAAAAUUCUUACUUUACUUGUUUUUGUAAUAUAAUAAGUAAACUAAAAUAUAAGUUCACAAAAAAAACCUUAUGACACCAAGUACACCUUUUUUUUACGUUUUAUUCGUCAUCUUCAGUAAGUUUAGUAGAGGAAACAUGUUGACAGAUUACUUUUUUUUACGUUUUAUUCGGGUUGGGUUUAGGGUUGCACCUCUAGGUUACAGCAGACUUGGUCCUGUUGUUACUUUAAACUUGAAACGGGCUGAUGGUUCUUGGGUUGGUUGACCCUCGUGAAGUGGAAAAAUUGGUGGUAAUGUUUAUGACUUAGCUAUAUACUGUAGUAUUUAAUAAUAGCUUAUACACAGGAUAUAUAAAUAAAUGUUCAUAUAUUGUGUAGACAGGAUGCUUUUGCAAUUCCGGUGCUUGUUCUAAGUAUCCAACAUUGAGGUACGGAAAUUAUCUAAUAAUAAAAUACGACUAGUAUACUUGAGUUGUAUUAUUAACCAGGGUAAGUUUUUAUAACUAAAUUUGAUGAUAUUUGAGAAUGGAAGCUGAAACGUGAUGUCGAGGCUUGGCUCAAGGCGCAAAUAUCCCUUAAACUGUUAAAAAACGACGACAGGGCGGAAAGUGAACACCCUUACCAGGUUUACUUUCUUUUUUUAUUUUGGGAGUCAGAUACUGGUUUGUUAAAAAAUCAUACAGAGCUGAUUAGUCUUAUUAGCUUGUUAUUUGUUUGUCUGUAGUUAGAAUGUGAGGACUAUGUGACUUGCUGCUAAGUAAUGAAAUUUUUGCUAAGUUAGAAUGUA